AUUGAACGCUGGCGGCAGGCUUAACACAUGCAAGUCGAGCGAGCGGCGGACGGGUGAGUAAUGUCUGGGAAACUGCCUGAUGGAGGGGGAUAACUACUGGAAACGGUAGCUAAUACCGCAUACUAUCAGAUGAGCCUAGGUCGGAUUGGCUAGUUGGUGGGGUGAAGGCCUACCAAGGCGACGAUGCGGAACUGGUCUGGGAGGAUGAUCGGUCAAACUGGCACUGAGGCACGGUCCAGACUCCUACGGGAGGCAGCAGUGGAGCAUAUUGGACAAUGGGCGAAAGCCUGAUGCAGCCAUGCCGCGUGUGUGAAGAAGGCCUUCGGGUUGUAAAGCACUUUCAGCGGUGAGGCGUUACCCGCAGAAGAAGCACCGGCUAACUCCGUGCCAGCAGCCGCGGUAAUUC
rnacentral:rRNA from 1 species